rnacentral:rRNA from 1 species
GACGAACGCUGGCGGCGUGCUUAACACAUGCAAGUCGAACGGAAAGGCCCUGCUUGCAGGGUACUCGAGUGGCGAACGGGUGAGUAACACGUGGGUGAUCUGCCCUGCACUUCGGGAUAAGCCUGGGAAACUGGGUCUAAUACCGGAUAGGAGCCAUUUAUAGUGUGAUGGUUGGAAAGUUUUUUCGGUGUAGGAUGAGCUCGCGGCCUAUCAGCUUGUUGGUGGGGUAAUGGCCUACCAAGGCGGCGACGGGUAGCCGGCCUGAGAGGGUGGACGGCCACAUUGGGACUGAGAUACGGCCCAGACUCCGAAGGGAGGCAGCAGUGGGGAAUAUUGCACAAUGGGCGCAAGCCUGAUGCAGCGAGGCCGCGUGGGGGAUGACGGCCUUCGGGUUGUAAACUCCUUUCGCUAGGGACGAAGCUUUUUGUGACGGUACCUAGAUAAGAAGCACCGGCUAACUACGUG